rnacentral:rRNA from 1 species
AUUGAACGCUGGCGGCAUGCCUUACACAUGCAAGUCGAACGGUAACAGGUCUUCGGAUGCUGACGAGUGGCGAACGGGUGAGUAAUACAUCGGAACGUGCCCAGACGUGGGGGAUAACGAGGCGAAAGCUUUGCUAAUACCGCAUACGAUCUAAGGAUGAAAGCAGGGGACCGCAAGGCCUUGCGCGUUUGGAGCGGCCGAUGGCAGAUUAGGUAGUUGGUGGGAUAAAAGCUUACCAAGCCGACGAUCUGUAGCUGGUCUGAGAGGACGACCAGCCACACUGGGACUGAGACACGGCCCAGACUCCUACGGGAGGCAGCAGUGGGGAAUUUUGGACAAUGGGCGAAAGCCUGAUCCAGCAAUGCCGCGUGCAGGAUGAAGGCCUUCGGGUUGUAAACUGCUUUUGUACGGAACGAAAAGGCUCUGGCUAAUACCUGGGGCACAUGACGGUACCGUAAGAAUGAGCACCGGCUAACUACGUG